rnacentral:rRNA from 1 species
UACAGAGGAGCCAAGCGUUGUCCGGAUUUACUGGGCGUAAAGCGCACGCAGGCGGAUGCGCGCGUGGGGUGUGAAAUCUGGCCGCUUAACGGCCAGGCGCCAUCCCAUACGGCGCGUCUGGAGUGAUGCAGAGGUCGGUGGAAUUGCCGGUGUAGUGGUGAAAUGCGUAGAGAUGUGGAGGAACACCGAUGGCGAAGGCAGCCCCCUGGGUCAAGAUUGACGCUCAUGCACGAAAGCGUGGGGAGCAUACAGG